CCCCUUUCUCGCUAGAACCGUUGAUGUUUAACCAGAAGCAUCAUUAUGCAGGGUUGUUUUCAAGGUUUACUACUUGCCAUUAUCCUUAGAAGUUAGCAUAUGUAAUAUAAAAGUUAAAAGCAAUAUCGGUUGCAGGUGCACCAUUUGCAGCAAUGCAAUUUGAAGUGGAAGGAAGUUGUCAUAUUUAAGUAAAACAUACGUCAGCCGAAUAUAUGUUCGUCCUCCAUAAAAGAUGAUUAACUCAAUCAUAGAGGGCAAGCAUGAUGACAUAGCAACAAAAUGGAGGGGAUACAAUCCAUUUUUAGAACAACA
rnacentral:lncRNA from 1 species